rnacentral:rRNA from 1 species
AUUGAACGCUGGCGGCAUGCCUAACACAUGCAAGUCGAACGGCAGCAGGAAGUAGCUUGCUAGAUUGAUGGCGGGUGGCGUACGUGUGAGUAAUACAUCUGACCGUGCGCUGUGGUGGGCGAUAACUAGUGGACAGUUUUACUACUACCGCCUAGGGCCUGAAGGUGAGGGUGGUGGGGAGCAAACGCUAACAGUUUAGCCGAGGUCGGAUUAGCUAGUUGGUGGGGUAAAGGCUCACCAAGGCGACGAUCCGUAGCUGGUCUGAGAGGACGAUCAGCCACACUGGGACUGAGACACGGUCCAGACUCCUACGGGAGGCAGCAGUGGGGAAUUUUGGACAAUGGGCGAAAGCCUGAUCCAGCAAUGCCGCGUGUGUGAAGAAGGCCUUCGGAUUGUAAAGCACUUUUGGCCGGAAAGAAAGGGAUCUGGUUAAUACCUGGGGUUGAUGACGUUACCAGAAGAAUAAGGACCGGCUAACUACGUG